GAGGACGAAGGCAUAGAGCACUAACAGGAUUCGACACCCUAGUAGUCUUUGCAGACAAUGAUGAAUGCCAUGAACUAGAUUGCAAAUUUAGUUUUAUAAAUGAAAAUAGCAAGCAUUUCACCUCAAGAGUAAUGUGGCAACGCAGGAACUGAAAUCACUAGACCGUUUCUGACACCAGUAGUGAAGUAUGUUAUUUAAUUCGAUGAUCCACGAAAAACCUUACCAUAACUUGAA
rnacentral:ncRNA from 1 species